rnacentral:rRNA from 1 species
GCCAUCAUUAAGUUGGGCACUCUAAGAGACUGCCGGUGUCAACCGGAGGAAGUGGGGAUGACGUCAAGUCCUCAUGGCCCUUAUGACCAGGGCUACACACGUACUACAAUGGCAGGUACAAAGGGCAGCCACUUAGCGAUAAGGCGCGAAUCCCGUAAACCUGUCUCAGUCCGGAUUGGAGUCUGCAACUCGACUCCAUGAAGUUGGAAUCGCUAGUAAUCGCAGAUCAGCACGCUGCGGUGAAUACGUUCCCGGGCCUU